rnacentral:rRNA from 1 species
UACAGAGGGUGCAAGCGUUGUUCGGAAUUAUUGGGCGUAAAGCGCGUGUAGGCGGCGUCGUAAGUCGGGUGUGAAAUCCCUCAGCUUAACUGAGGAAGUGCGCCCGAAACUGCGAUGCUUGAGUACCGGAGAGGAUGGCGGAAUUCCAGGAGUAGAGGUGAAAUUCGUAGAGACCUGGAGGAACACCGGUGGCGAAGGCGGCCAUCUGGACGGUAACUGACGCUGAGACGCGAAAGCGUGGGUAGCAAACAGG